UCAUGUUGAUCUGGUGUUGAUAAAAAUAUAUUUACAUAGCCUAUAUUGUAUAAAAUAUAUUUUCUUCUAUUCAAAUUCAAGAUAUUUAAAUAUAUAAAUAUCUAUUUAUUAUUAUUAUAUUUCAAUCGAUGUGAUUUAUGUAGGCUAUGGGAUUAAUCACUUUCCAUAGUUUACAGAUGUUAAUUUUAUUUUACUACCAUUAAUAGUUAAAACUGGUUCAUUUAUAAUAAUGAUAAAGUUGCACUUCUGUUAUGGUUCGGUUAUAUGCCAAACUGUUGUGAAAUGGAAAUAUUGUGGUAGGCCAAAUUAGGCCUUUUGUUGUAGAACUUCUCUGUUGUAGACCUGAAUGUACAGAGGUACUGUUUGAUACGGGCUGCCAACCAAGACGCUAAAACAGUAUUAUAAACCGCACGAGUAAAUAGACGAGCAGGGUUGCCAGGUCCCAGAAAUAUUUCCAGCCCAAUGACAACUCAAAACCCGCCCAAAUGGAAUAAAAACUAGCCCAAUUUUUCAGUGUCCAAUCAGAUUAGACAACGGCUGGAUUCCCACAGAGGGUCCACUUCCUACAUCCUCCAAAAGGUCUUCAUGUACUACUGGUCCUAUCACUGAAUUAAUUAGUGCUGUGCAUUUCGUUCGAUGUAAACUAAUGCCUUUUUUCGAAAUUUCUUCCACAACACUUCCUAAGUGGUCAACAGUUGAAGUGCUUGAGUGACAAGCAACAUGGGCAGCCAGCUUCAACUCUGCCUCUUUCACAGGUGCAUUAUUUCUUAGAAAGGAACUGCCUGUGUCAAAUAAUGUUCUGGCAUUUGAGAAAGGAGCCGCAUUUUUUUUUAUGUUUUUCAGUCGCAGCAUGAGCUACCAGAUCACCGUGGUGAGCUCUUACUUCACAAUUGCAAUAUUUGCAGAACGCUUUUCUAUCAUCAUUUGGAACACUUCGAAUCCACUCCUUUAAUCCUUUCUCUGUCUCCCAUUCUUUGCGAUACUUCUUUCCAUACUUUCCCCAUUUACCUGACAUUUUAGAAUGCUGCUUGUUCAUCCACAGACAACUGAACCGACGCUUCUGACUACAACGCUCUCAUGAUGUGAGUUACGUGAUGAU
ensembl:lncRNA